AUAUUCUAAAAUAUAUUUAUUUCCUUAAUAUCUUCAAUAUUAUGCUCUUUAUAAGCUAUUAAAAUA
rnacentral:tRNA from 1 species